rnacentral:rRNA from 1 species
UACGUAGGGGGCAAGCGUUGUCCGGAAUCAUUGGGCGUAAAGAGCGUGUAGGCGGUCCGUUAAGUCGGCUGUGAAAGUCCAAGGCUCAACCUUGGGAUGCCGGUCGAUACUGCCGGACUAGAGUUCGGAAGAGGCGAGUGGAAUUCCCGGUGUAGCGGUGAAAUGCGCAGAUAUCGGGAGGAACACCGGUGGCGAAGGCGGUUCUCUGGGCAUGAUCUGACGCUGAGGAGCGAAAGUGUGGGGAGCGAACAGG